rnacentral:rRNA from 1 species
GUCGAACGAUGAAGCCCUUCGGGGUGGAUUAGUGGCGAACGGGUGAGUAACACGUGGGCAAUCUGCCCUGCACUCUGGGACAAGCCCUGGAAACGGGGUCUAAUACCGGAUACGAGCCUCCCGGGCAUCUGGGAGGUUGGAAAGCUCCGGCGGUGCAGGAUGAGCCCGCGGCCUAUCAGCUUGUUGGUGAGGUAACGGCUCACCAAGGCGACGACGGGUAGCCGGCCUGAGAGGGCGACCGGCCACACUGGGACUGAGACACGGCCCAGACUCCUACGGGAGGCAGCAGUGGGGAAUAUUGCACAAUGGGCGAAAGCCUGAUGCAGCGACGCCGCGUGAGGGAUGACGGCCUUUCGGGUUGUAAACCUCUUUCAGCAGGGAAGAAGCGAAAGUGACGGUACCUGCAGAAGAAGCGCCCGGCUAACUACGUGCCAGCAACCGCGGUAAUUUCA